rnacentral:rRNA from 1 species
AAACUAGGAUUAGAUACCCUAUUAUUAAAAAAUUAAAUAUAUAAUACUAAAAUAGUAAAUAAUUUAUUGAAACUUAAAUAAAUUGGCGGUAUUUUAGUUCAUUCAGAGGAAUCUGUUUAUUAAUUGAUAGUCCACGAAUAAAUUUACUUAAUUUAUUAUUUUGUAUAUCGUUGUUAAAAAAAUAUUUUUUAAUAAAAAUAAUAUUUAAAAAUUUUAAAAUAAAAUUAAAUCAGAUCAAGAUGCAGAUUAUAAUUAAGAAUAUAAUGGAUUACAAUAAAUUUAUUUAUUAAUGAAUAUUAAAUUGAAAUAUUUAAUUGAAGGUGGAUUUGAAUGUAAUUUUAUUUACAAUUAAUAAAAUGAUUAAUAAUUAAAAUAUGUACAUAUUGCCCGUCGCUUUCAAUAAAUAUAAAUGAAAUAAGUCGUAACAUAGUA